rnacentral:rRNA from 1 species
CCUACGGGGGGCAGCAGUCGAGAAUCAUUCACAAUGGGGGAAACCCUGAUGGUGCGAAGCCGCGUGGGGGAAUGAAGGUCUUCGGAUUGUAAACCCCUGUCAUGUGGGAGCAAAUUAAAAAGAUCGUACCACAAGAGGAAGAGACGGCUAACUCUGUGCCAGCAGCCGCGGUAAUACAGAGGUCUCAAGCGUUGUUCGGAAUCACUGGGCGUAAAGCGUGCGUAGGCUGUUUCGUAAGUCGUGUGUGAAAGGCGCGGGCUCAACCCGCGGACGGCACAUGAUACUGCGAGACUAGAGUAAGGGAGGGGGAACCGGAAUUCUCGGUGUAGCAGUGAAAUGCGUAGAUAUCGAGAGGAACACUCGUGGCGAAGGCGGGUUCCUGGACAUUAACUGACGCUGAGGCACGAAGGCCAGGGGAGCGAAAGGGAUUAGAUACCCUUGUAGUC